GGGUGCUCUGCCUGUGAUCAGAGACACAGCUGGGCCCAGGAUUAGUAGUGUUUGAUUUAGCAGAUGAGACUAAUGCCCAAUACCCUCACCACGAGUUGUUACAGCACUGGGUGUGAGCACACCACUCGAUCAGGGCUCUGUGCCCUGGGUGGCCUCUGAUUUCUGUGUGACCCCAGAGCUCUUAACCAGGGUCACCUAGCGAGGAUGGUGCAAGAGGGCUUUGCUACCCUCAAUAGCUGAUAACGUUACGUUGAACAAUUUUAGCCUGCUAAGCUGACUUUAACCUAAAGCAAGG